UCAAACUUGGUCAUUUAGAGGAAGUAAAAGUCGUAACAAGGUUUCCGUAGGUGAACCUGCGGAAGGAUCAUUACCGAUCUUAAACUCUGGCGAAAGCCAUCUACUUGUGGACUCUGAUUGUGACGUGGGUUGACUUUUUUUGGUUAACCCAUAAUCAUGUUCAAAUAUUUUCUUACUGUCAAAUUUAAAAAUAAUUAAAUACAACUUGCAGCGAUGGAUCUCUUGGCUCUGGCAUCGAUGAAGAACGCAGC
rnacentral:misc_RNA from 1 species